GAAGGUGUAUCUAGAAAGACAAAUUAGAGCUUGAAAAAUAAAGCAUUUCAUUUACAUUGAAAAGUAUAUUGUGUAAUUCAAUUUAAUUUGAUAAUAAAAAUUUAUUAAUUUUUUUUUGUUUAAGAAUUUAUUUAAUAAAAUUAAUUUUAAAUUGAUUUUUUUUUGUAUAGUAUGUAGAUCAAAUAAUUUAUAUAAUAGUUAAUUAGUAUUGUAAAAGAAUAUUGAAAUAUAUGAAAAAGUUUUAAAUUAAAAGUAGAUUUUAUAUAUUGUACCUUGUGUAUCAGGGUUUAUUAAUUAAAAGUUAAAAAUUUAAUUUUUCUCGAAUUUAAGAGAGUUAAUUUAUUAUUUAAUUUUUUGUUUCAUAAAAAUUUAAAAUAAUAAAUUAGAAAUGAAAUGUUAUUCGUUUUUAAAUAUAUCUAGUUUUUUAAGAAAUAAAUUAAAUUUAGAUUAUUAGUAAAUAAUUAUUUAUUUAAAUAAUAAAUUAUUAUUAUUAAUUAAUAUUUUAAGGGAUAAGCUUUAAAGUAAGUUUUAUAAUAGUUUUUUAAUUUAAAAAUUAUAGAUUUAGAAAUAGUCAUUAAUUAUAAAAAUGUUAUAAUUUAUUUUAAAUUGAAAAUAAUUUUUAUUAAUUUAAGUUUUUAUUAAAAUAAUUUUUAGAAUUAUAUAAAAAUUAAAAUAAUGAUAAAAUUAGUAUAUUUUAAUUGUUUAAAAUAAAUAAAUUGAAAGGUUAAAUUAAGGAACUUGGCAAAUAAAUACUCGCCUGUUUAACAAAAACAUGUCUUUUUGAAUAUAAUUUAAAGUCUAAUCUGCCCACUGAAAAAUUUUAAAGGGCCGCGGUAUU
rnacentral:rRNA from 1 species